GUUAGGGGAGAGGAUUGCUGUGUGAUGAAAUUGGGUUGGGGACCUUGAGUUUGAGGGACCGUGGGAAUGCAGAUUGGAAUCCUGAAGCAAUGAGGGUGUAGCCCUAGUUAAAGGACAUGGAAACAACCUAAAUGCCCAUCAACAGAUGAAUGGAUAAAGAAGAUGUGGUACAUAUAUAUAAUGGAAUAUUACUCAGCCAUAAAAAGAAAUGAAAUUGGGUCAUUUGUAUAGAGAUGUGGAUGGACCUAGAGUGUGUCAUACAGAGUGAAAUGUGGUGGCAGGAGUAUCAGCAGCUAUUUUUGAUCAUGAGGUAACUGUGAGGAUGGAAACAACAUAAAGAAGAAUGGAAGAAGAGAAUGACAGAAGGAGCCUGGGUCCCUGAUGACCUUGUGCCAACCCUGGACUGCCUACCUCAGUAUUUCAUGUAUAUAACAAUAACGCAUUAAAUGUUUCUGUUAUUUGGGGUUUUCUAUUCCAUGCAAUUGGGUCUAAUCCUUACUGAUACAUAACACUUAGAAGUGGAUGGCAUUCCAAUAAUGUGAAAAUAUGUAUGCAAAAGGUUGUUCACUGCUAUAUCAUUUGUAAGCGCAAAAUAUUAGAAACCACCUAAAACCCCACGUGUAUAAGACAGGUUUCAUAACUGUGGUACAUCUACCCAACAGUGUUCUAUGCAGCUCUAAAAAUGAUUGAGGAUGAGAUCUAUGACCUUAAGUGGGGGUGAUUUC